rnacentral:ncRNA from 4 species
UACGAAGGGUGCAAGCGUUAAUCGGAAUUACUGGGCGUAAAGCGCGCGUAGGUGGCUUGAUAAGUUGGAUGUGAAAUCCCCGGGCUCAACCUGGGAACUGCAUCCAAAACUGUCUGGCUAGAGUGCGGUAGAGGGUAGUGGAAUUUCCAGUGUAGCGGUGAAAUGCGUAGAUAUUGGAAGGAACACCAGUGGCGAAGGCGACUACCUGGACUGACACUGACACUGAGGUGCGAAAGCGUGGGGAGCAAACAGG